rnacentral:rRNA from 1 species
GAUUAACGCUGGCGGCAUGCCUAAUACAUGCAAGUCGAACGGAAGCAGCAAUGCUUUAGUGGCGAACGGGUGAGUAACACGUAGGGAACCUACCUAUACGACGAGGAUAACUACUGGAAACGGUAGCUAAAACUGGAUAGGAUCAAUUGAGGCAUCUUGAUUGAUUUAAAGAUCCUUCGGGAUUACGUAGAGAUGGCCCUGCGGCGCAUUAGCUAGUUGGUGAGGUAACGGCCCACCAAGGCGACGAUGCGUAGCUGAGCUGAGAGGCUAAACAGCCACACUGGGACUGAGACACGGCCCAGACUCCUACGGGAGGCAGCAGUAGGGAAUUUUCGGCAAUGGGGGAAACCCGUGACCGAGCAAUGCCGCGUGAACGAUGAAGGUCUUCGGAUUGUAAAGUUCUGUGAUUGGGGAAGAAUGGUAUUCUUAGGGGAAUGAGGAGUACAUGACGGUACCCGAUUAGAAAGCCCCGGCUAACUAUGUGCCAGCAGCCG